UACGAAGGGGGCGAGCGUUGUUCGGAUUUACUGGGCGUAAAGGGCGCGUAGGCGGCGGGUCAAGUCGAGUGUGAAAGCCCCGGGCUCAACCUGGGAAUUGCGCUCGAGACUGGUCUGCUUGAGUUCGGGAGAGGAGCGUGGAAUUCCCAGUGUAGAGGUGAAAUUCGUAGAUAUUGGGAAGAACACCGGUGGCGAAGGCGGCGCUCUGGACCGAGACUGACGCUGAGGCGCGAAAAGCGUGGGGAGCAACAGGG
rnacentral:rRNA from 1 species